AAUACAGAUGUUCCGUAACAUUUGGCGACUCUGAGAAACCAACGUAGGAUGCUGCCGCCACAUUGCUCCCAAGAGUGGAUGUCAUUCAAGGAACGUGUCCACAAGAGCAUUCAAGAACAAAAGCCAGGGAGCAAUGAUGGAAAAGCUGGCCAGGGAAUAUGAUGAGUGGGCAAACCUCUACCCUUCCUUGGCCCAACUGGCUGCAGCAGCCCUGAUCAUCCCAGUGUCAAGUGUAAAUUGUGAGCAAGACGUCCUGGCGACGAACAGGAUCAAAACUGACCUGAGAAAACUUCAAGAAGAGCACCUUGCUGCAUGCAUGAGGAUUAGUAAAAAUGGACCUACCCCUGAAUCCUUUCUAUAGAGAAAGGCCUUAGAAAUGUUUGUCUUUUCAAAGCAAAGAUCCAUUGUUCAGACAGAAAUUGUCAACUUUGUAAACAGCUAACUACAAAUUAUAUAAUAGCGUAUGUGCAAUAAAUAAGCAUUGUUCAUAAACCUUUGUUUGAAUAGAUUUUGAAUGCGCUUACACCAUUGCGCCACCCUGCACCACCACAAGAAAAUUCUCAAUCUUGGGGAAACGCAGUGUACCUAGUUGCUGUGCAAUU